CGCAGCACGUGUUUCAGAGAGCACAGGGUUGGGGGUAAGGGAAUCAAAGUGGACUUAUAAAGCCAAUAAAGCCCCUUGGGAAAGCUGGCCUCAUGCAUUGUCUACAGAGUCCUUGUACAGAGUUCCUGACCAGUGACAAUUCACCCCUUAUUUCUGCACCCGGGCCAGGCUGCUCUUACCUCUCAACCCUGUUACCCACUGGUUCUCAGUAUGCGCCUGAGAUCCCAGGGAAGGUGCUUGGAAUAGAUCUGAGUAUUCUGCCUGAGACAGGACUUGGAGUGACUCUGAUGGAGUCUUGCUAUGUUGCCCAGGCUAGUCUCAAAUUCC